AUUGAACGCUGGCGGCAGGCCUAACACAUGCAAGUCGAACGAGUGGCGGAGGGUGAGUAAUGUCCGGGAAACCGCCCGAUGGAGGGGGAUAACUACUGGAAACGGUUGCUAAUACCGCAUACCAUCGGGUUUGCCCCGAUGGGAUUUGCUAGUAGGUGGGGUAACGGCUGACCUAGGCGACGAUCCCUAGCUGGUCUGAGAGGAUGACCAGCCACACUGGAACUGAGACACGGUCCAGACUCCUACGGGAGGCAGCAGUGGGGAAUAUUGCACAAUGGGCGCAAGCCUGAUGCAGCCACGCCGCGUGUAUGAAGAAGGCCUUCGGGUUGUAAAGUACUUUCAGCGGGGAGGCGUUACCCGCAGAAGAAGCACCGGCUAACUCCGUGCCAGCAGCCGCGGUAAUAC
rnacentral:rRNA from 1 species